rnacentral:lncRNA from 1 species
ACAAAAUAUUAAUUUAAAAAUACAUUUCCUUGGCAGUGGUGGUAUAUAUAUCUAAGAAAAAUGAUAUAUAUAUAUAUAACAAAGUGUACACAUAAAUAAGUUUUCCACUUUUGUGGGAUUUUUGAGGUUUUUUUGUUUUUACUUAUUGUGUGUGAGGUGGGGGUUGGAGUGGUCACAGGCCACAGCUCGUGUGGUGGCCAGAGGAUGGCUUGUAGGGACUGCUUCUCUCCUUCCGCCGUGCGGGUUCUGCUUGUCAGCCUGGCUGGCAGCAAAUGCCUUUACUUACUGAGACAUUGUGUUAGUCCAUGAUUUUGUUCUUUUGAGACAGGGUUUUCCCUUCAUUGCCCCGGCUAGCCUGCAGCUGCAUCCCUAGUGCCAGCCUCCCUGAGGAGUGCUAGCUUUACAGGAGUUUACCGCCCACUCAGAAUACUCCUGUGCUCUUGUUUCCACAGGAAAGCAACUAUUUGUCCUAUCUAUGUCAUUAGGAAUAUUUAUGCUUAAACAGGCAUAUGCAUUAAUAUUCCCUGUAUCAGCUCUAUAGGCCAAUGGUUUAUAUAUACAAGCCUGUUUCUGUUGAUUUUGCUGUAUUAUAGAUCAAAUGUAGGGCCUUGUGCCUACCCUGCAAAUACUCUACCCCUGUGACAUCCCAGCCAGUUUAUUCUGUAUAUGUAAAAUAUCUACUACCACCCUACCCCUUUUCUGUUUUGCCGCUGGGAACUAUACUCGGGACAUUACACCUACCAGGUACUGCACCCACGUCCUUUUAGUUAAAUUAACUAAUUUAUUUAUUUUGGAGUUUUGUAGGACAGAAUUUCACUAGAGAUCAAGCUGGAUUGAACUUGGCCAUCUGAACUUUUUUGUUUCUUUUUUUUUCUCUGUAUGUGUGUGUGUUUGGAGACAGGAUCUCCUGUAACUCAGGCUCACCUCAAGCUCAGUUUGUAGCACAGGCUGGCCUUGAACUUCUGAUCUUCUCCUCUACUUCCCAAGUGCUAGUUUAACAGAUAUGUACCAGUUUAGGAGUUUUACUUUAAAGCCCCUACCUUUUAUAGAAAGAGUGUUAAUGGAUCCCUGUAAAUGAACUUGAUCAUCGCUGUUCAGCCUACUCUCCAGACAGGAGCUGGCCUUUUGCUCUACGUAGUAUUUUAUCAUUGAGCUCAGGUAACUCCAGGUGUGACCUAGAAAAACAAGCUACUGACUGGGAGAAUUUCAGAUCUGGCACUCAGUUUUCAAUACAGAAGGGACACUGAAGCAGAUGGCAGGUUCAUUUCUAUAUCAUUUCUGUAUUGUUGGUUUAACACUGAAUAUGGUGUCGUUCUCUAUCCCCUCUGCACCCCCCCCCCAUUUUAUUUUUUUGACAGGGUCUCUCUUCUUUGUUCUAGCUGUUCUAAAACUCACUAUGUAGACCAGGUUUACCUCAAACUCAGGUCCAAUUGCCUCUGCCUUCUCUGUGCUGAGCUUAAAGGCCACCAACUCUGUUGCUUUCCUUUUUUCAUUUUUUUUUUUUUAAGAUUUAUUUUAUGUAUAUGAGUACACCAUUGCUCUCUUCCGACACACCAGAAGAGGGCACCAGUUCCCAUUAUAGAUGGUUCUGAGUCACCAUGUGGUUGCUGGGAAUUGAACUCAGGACCUUGGGAAGAGCAGCGGUGCUUUUAACUGCUGAGCCAUCUCCAGCCCUCUUUUUUUCAUUCCUAAAGCCACUACUGGAAGUUAAGAAGCAGAGGAACUCCAAACAUAACAGUGUAAUAAAAUUUCUCUAAAUUAAAUGAGUGUUAAAGCCACUACAAGCUAAUGAAGGAAUAAAAGCCAUUUGUUUGUUUUUUGUUUUUUUGGUUUUUCGAGACAGGGUUUCUCUGUAUAGCCCUGGCUGUCCUGGAACUCCCUCUGUAGACCAGGUGGACUUCAAACUUACAGAGAUCUGCCUGCCUCUGCCUUCUGAGUGCUGUGAUUAAAAGCAUGCACCUGCCUCUGCCAUCUCUCCAGCCCCUUGUUUAAUUUUAAGCUGGGUUUGGUGGUAGAAGCAAAAGAAUCGGGUGUUCAAGGCCAUUUUCAGAUAUAGAUCAAAUUCAAAGUCAGUCUCUUAAUAAUAAUAACUCAUAGUGGCAUUAAAAAUAGAAUUUACGCUGGGCAGUGGUGGCGCACGCCUUUAAUCCCAGCACUUGGGAGGCAGAGGCUGGUGGAUUUCUGAGUUCAAGGCCAGCCUGGUCUACAAAGUGAGUUCCAGGACAGCCAGGGCUACACAGAGAAACCCUGUCUCCAAAUAAAUAAAUAAAUAAAUAAAUAAAUAAAUAGUUGACGCAGUCAGAACUCAGCAGCUACCAUAGGAAGGAGAAACAGCUGUACCUGGGCAUGUUUGGUUAAUGAAGAAAAGAGACAUUUCUCAACUUGAACUCAAGUGGACAAGCAAAGGCCCAUUGGGGAAUCUGAGCCUCACUCAGCAAAAGGAGUUCACCCUUUACCUCUGACCCAGGUGGAUUUCCAUUUUGUUUCCUGUUCUGCACAAGUUCUUUGCUCCUUAGACCAUCUGCAUCGUUUAUUGUCUGUCCCCUAGUGUAUUUGUAUGGCUUACAAUCUGAGAACAUUCAUCGACUGUGGGUGGAAUCAACUGUAUUUGUGGCAUAGAUUUAAUGGGGUGUUAUUAAAUGUUCUCAGACACAGAGGAGAGGGCCGGUGAAGGGUGAGAGAGUAAGGACAGGCAAACAGGAAUCUUCUGUAGUAUCUUCAGAUGCUUUUGUUUUGCUUAGUGGGAUUUUUUUUUCUUUUAAUUAUAAAUUGAGCCCAAGUAUAUUUACAUUAAAGAUUUGAAAUUAGCUGGGUGUGGUGGCGCACACGUUUAGUCCCAGCACUUGGGGGAGUCAGGCAGAUUUCUGAGUUUGAGGCUAGUCUGGUCUACAGAGUGAGUUCCAGGACAGCCAGGGCUACACAGAGAAACCCUGUCUGGAAAAACCAAAAACAAACAAACAAAAAAAGAUUUGAAAUUAAUCAUUUUAGGGCUAAGGCUGUAGCUCAGUGGUAGAGUGCUCGCCUAGCACGAAUAAGGCCCUGGGUUUAAUUCCCCAGUGCUACAAAACCAACCAACG